GUGGGCGAGUGGAGGGCGGCCCCUUCCUCUGGCGGCGGCGGCUCUGAGCCGGGCCGCCCCCCGCCCGCCGGCGCUCAGUGAGCUCACCCGCAGCUGGCGGGCGCCCGGCCCGUUGCCACGGCAACGCCUCUCCCAGGGCAGCGCGGACCCUAGAGCGGCUCCGAGAGCUGGCAUGGAGAAGGAAAUCCUUUAUCUGUGUUCUGGGCCGUCGUGACAUUUGGAUGAGGUCGAGCAAGGAAGGAGGCUGUCUUUGGGGCAGACAAAGUGCACAGCCCCACUUUGACACACCCUUGGAAGCCAUCUCCUGCCUGCUGUUCUGGGCUCUCAUUGCAUCCGUGGCCCUUUCUCCCCAACCUGGAGACAGCUGGAUGCGAGCUCCUGCCCGGCCCACCACAACCCCUGGCUGCCUCCCUCUGAGGAAAUAAAACCAAGUCAAGCAUCCCAC
ensembl:lncRNA